UACGUAGGGACCGAGCGUUGUCCGGAAUCAUUGGGCGUAAAGAGCGUGUAGGCGGUCCGUUAAGUCGGCUGUGAAAGUCCAAGGCUCAACCUUGGGAUGCCGGUCGAUACUGCCGGACUAGAGUUCGGAAGAGGCGAGUGGAAUUCCCGGUGUAGCGGUGAAAUGCGCAGAUAUCGGGAGGAACACCUAUGGCGAAGGCAGCUCGCUGGGACGUUACUGACGCUGAGACGCGAAAGCGUGGGGAGCAAACAGG
rnacentral:rRNA from 1 species